UACGUAGGGUGCAAGCGUUAAUCGGAAUUACUGGGCGUAAAGCGUGCGCAAGCGGUUUUGUAAGUCAGGUGUGAAAGCCCGGAGCUCAACUUCGGAAUUGCACCCGAUACUGCCGUGCUUGAGGACUGGAGAGGAGAUUGGAAUUCACAGUGGAGCAGUGAAAUGCGUAGAUAUUGUGAGGAACACUAGUGGCGAAGGCGAAUCUCUGGACAGUUCCUGACGCUGAGGCACGAAGGCCAGGGGAGCAAACGGG
rnacentral:rRNA from 1 species